rnacentral:rRNA from 1 species
GAUGAACGCUAGCGAUAGGCUUAACACAUGCAAGUCGAGGGGCAGCACAAGGUAGCUUGCUAUCUGGGUGGCGACCGGCGCACGGGUGCGUAACGCGUAUGCAACUUGCCCUAUACAGGAGGAUAACCCGUCGAAAGACGGACUAAUACUGCGUAUGCUCACAACUUGGCAUCAAGUGGUGAGGAAAGAAAUUCGGUAUAGGAUAGGCAUGCGUCCCAUUAGCUUGUUGGUGAGGUAACGGCUCACCAAGGCAACGAUGGGUAGGGGAACUGAGAGGUUUAUCCCCCACACUGGUACUGAGACACGGACCAGACUCCUACGGGAGGCAGCAGUGAGGAAUAUUGGUCAAUGGGCGCGAGCCUGAACCAGCCAAGUCGCGUGAAGGAGGGCUGUCUUAUGGAUUGUAAACUUCUUUUAUACGGGAAUAACAAGAGUCACGUGUGACUCCCUGCAUGUACCGUAUGAAUAAGCAUCGGCUAACUCCGUG